GACGAACGCUGGCGGCGUGCCUAAUACAUGCAAGUAGAACGCAGUGGUGAACGGGUGAUUAAAGCGUAGGUAAAUGCCUCAUAGCGGGGGAUAACCAUGGGAAACGAUCGCUAAUACCGCAUCGUGUGAGAUGGACCUGUGUUGUAUUAGCUAGUUGGUGAGGUAAAGGCUCACGAAGGCGACGAUACAUGACCGACCUGCUCGGGUGUACAGGCACACUGUGACUGGGACACGGCCCAGACUCCUACGGGAUGCAGCAGGAGGGAAUCUUCGGCAAUGGACGGAAGUCUUACCGAGCAACGCCGCGUGAGUGAAGAAGUGUUUCGGAUCGUAAAACUCUUUUGUUAGAGAAGCGGUAACUAACCAGAAAGGGACGGCUAACUACGUGCCAGCAGCCGCGGUAAUUC
rnacentral:rRNA from 1 species